AAACACACACAUCGUGUGUGUUCGAGAAGGAGCCAGGAGCUCCAUGAGAGCUCCACAAACCCUAAUCAUGAAGAUCAUCAAAUCGAAAGGCAAGAUGAAGCCUAAAUCCAUAACCAAGCAUGGAUUAAUGAUCACCAACACGAGGGGAUCAUAAGGAUCAUGCCAAGGUGGGUAGAAGCGUGGAAGGCUAACGGGAAGGAUGCGUGGAAGCAAGUACGAAACGGACGCUUAAGGUUAAUCAGAUAUACAUAAUGGACAAGUGAAUGAGGAUCAAGUUGAAGAUCAUGGAUUGUAAGGGAAAGCGGUCACGUUGUUUGUAAUCAUUGGUUAACAUAGUUACAUUAAAUAAAUGAUGAAUGAUGUAUUUAUGUUAGAAGGGCUGACCUAAACGGUAUUUAAGUAUGUUAGAGUAGUUAAAAGAAAGAAAUUUUACGGUUCA